rnacentral:rRNA from 1 species
UACGUAGGGUGCAAGCGUUAAUCGGAAUUACUGGGCGUAAAGGGCGCGUAGGCGGCUUGUAUAGUCGGAUGUGAAAUUCCUGGGCUUAACCUGGGGGCUGCAUACGAGACGUAUGGGCUUGAGUGCGGAAGAGGGUCGUGGAAUUCCCAGUGUAGAGGUGAAAUUCGUAGAUAUGGGGAAGAACACCGGUGGCGAAGGCGGCGACCUGGUCCGUGACUGACGCUGAGGCGCGAAAGCGUGGGGAGCGAACAGG